UACGUAGGGGGCAAGCGUUGUCCGGAAUCAUUGGGCGUAAAGAGCGUGUAGGCGGCCUGGUAGGUCUGCUGUGAAAACUCGAGGCUCAACCUCGAGAUGUCGGCGGAAACCAUCUGGCUAGAGUCCGGAAGAGGAGAGUGGAAUUCCUGGUGUAGCGGUGAAAUGCGCAGAUAUCAGGAAGAACACCUAUGGCGAAGGCAGCUCUCUGGGACGGUACUGACGCUGAGACGCGAAAGCGUGGGGAGCGAACAGG
rnacentral:rRNA from 1 species